rnacentral:rRNA from 1 species
UACGAAGGGGGCUAGCGUUGUUCGGAAUUACUGGGCGUAAAGCGCACGUAGGCGGAUAUUUAAGUCAGGGGUGAAAUCCCAGAGCUCAACUCUGGAACUGCCUUUGAUACUGGGUAUCUCGAGUAUGGAAGAGGUAAGUGGAAUUCCGAGUGUAGAGGUGAAAUUCGUAGAUAUUCGGAGGAACACCAGUGGCGAAGGCGGCUUACUGGUCCAUUACUGACGCUGAGGUGCGAAAGCUAGGGGAGCGAACGGG